rnacentral:rRNA from 1 species
UCAGGCCUAACACAUGCAAGUCGAGCGGUAGCAGGAAGUGCUUGCACUUCGCUGACGAGCGGCGGACGGGUGCGUAACACGUAGGAAUCUGCCUGGUAGUGGGGGAUAGCCCGGAGAAAUCCGGAUUAAUACCGCAUACGCCCUAAGGGGGAAAGGAGGGGAUCUUCGGACCUUUCGCUAUCAGAUGAGCCUGCGUCGGAUUAGCUUGUUGGUGGGGUAAAGGCCUACCAAGGCGACGAUCCGUAGCUGGUCUGAGAGGAUGAUCAGCCACACUGGGACUGAGACACGGCCCAGACUCCUACGGGAGGCAGCAGUGGGGAAUAUUGCACAAUGGGCGAAAGCCUGAUGCAGCCAUGCCGCGUGUGUGAAGAAGGCCCUAGGGUUGUAAAGCACUUUCAGUGGGGAGGAAAGGUUGAAGGUUAAUACCCUUCAGCUGUGACGUUACCCACAGAAGAAGCACCGGCUAACUCCGUGCCAGCAGCCGCGGUAAUACGGAGGGUGCGAGCGUUAAUCGGAAUUACUGGGCGUAAAGCGUGCGUAGGCGGCCACCUAAGUUGGAUGUGAAAGCCCCGGGCUCAACCUGGGAACUGCAUCCAAAACUGGGUGGCUAGAGUACGGGAGAGGAGUGUGGAAUUUCCUGUGUAGCGGUGAAAUGCGUAGAUAUAGGAAGGAACACCAGUGGCGAAGGCGACACUCUGGC